rnacentral:rRNA from 1 species
UACGUAGGGUGCAAGCGUUGUCCGGAAUUAUUGGGCGUAAAGAGCGUGUAGGCGGCCAUGCAGGUCCGUUGUGAAAACUCGAGCUCAACCUCGAGACGCCGAUGGAAACCGCAUGGCUAGAGUCCGGAAGAGGAGAGUGGAAUCCUGGUGUAGCGGUGAAAUGCGCAGAUAUCAGGAAGAACACCCGUGGCUAAGGCGGCUCUCUAGUACGGUACUGACGCUGAGACGCGAAAGCGUGGGGAGCGAACAGG